rnacentral:rRNA from 1 species
UACGGAGGGUGCAAGCGUUGCUCGGAAUUAUUGGGCGUAAAGGGCAGGUAGGUGGUCUUAUUUGUCCGGGGUGAAAUCCUUGAGCUUAACUCAAGAAGUGCCCCGGAGACGGUAAGACUGGAGUUCUGGAGAGGGUCGUGGAAUUCCCGGUGUAGCGGUGAAAUGCGCAGAUAUCGGGAGGAACACCAGCGGCGAAGGCGGCACUCUGGGCUGGAACUGACGCUGAGGAGCGAAAGCGUGGGUAGCAAACAGG